CCAGCGUCUAGCCCGAGGCUGAUCCCCAAAGGCGAAAAGUCGGACACCUUCACCGACCCCGGCGCUGGCACCUUAUGAAGG
rnacentral:sRNA from 1 species